AUACGGAGGAUCCGAGCGUUAUCCGGAUUUAUUGGGUUUAAAGGGUGCGCAGGCGGGAGAUUAAGUCGGCGGUGAAAUUUUGCAGCUCAACUGUAAAAGUGCCUUCGAUACUGGUUUCCUUGAGUGUGGAUGAAGUAGGCGGAAUUUGUGGUGUAGCGGUGAAAUGCUUAGAUAUCACGAGGAACUCCGAUUGCGCAGGCAGCUUACUAAACCACUACUGACGCUCAGGCACGAAGGCGUGGGGAUCAAACAGGAUUAGAUACCCUGGUAGUCCACGCAGUAAACGAUGAUUACUGGCUGUUUGCGAUACAAUGUAAGCGGCUGAGCGAAAGCGUUAAGUAAUCCACCUGGGGAGUACGUUCGCAAGAAUGA
rnacentral:rRNA from 1 species